rnacentral:tmRNA from 1 species
GGGGAUGAUUCUGGAUUCGACCGGAAGAGUGAAGUCAAUAUCGCAUGUAGAGGGUUGUGCGUAACUCUUAAAACACACACAAUAAAGAUAAUCGCAAACGAUGACUCUUUUGCAAUGGCUGCCUAAAGCAGUACAUGCGCCAGUAGCCGCAGCUUAAAAACCUGGCAGGCUACCCUGAGACCUCUCUCUUCGGUAGGGGAGCAAUCUUGGGUCACUUAUACCGAAUCGGACGUAUCCUUCGUCUGGAGGAGUAAUCUUAAAUCAAUCAGGCUAUAUCCCAAGACAGCGUGUCGGUUCGCGGUCCCGGAUGAAAGAUCUAAAUAAAUUCGACUAAACAUGUAGACAUAGAGAUGGAUCCUUUUGGGACGCGGGUUCAAAUCCCGCCAUCUCCACCA